GAAAUGCGAUAAGUAAUGUGAAUUGCAGAAUUCAGUGAAUCAUCGAAUCUUUGAACGCACAUUGCGCCCGCCAGCACUCUGGCGGGCAUGCCUGUUCGAGCCCUCGGGCAAGAGCAUGUCUGCCUCAGCGUCGGUUUAUACCCUCAUCCCUCCCAUUUAGUGGGUCGGUUAACUCAAUGUCAGUUAGCCAUAGGGGUGGAUCUGGCCUCCCCAAUUGGUUUGAUUACGAAUUGGGUUGGUUGAAGCACAGAGGCUUAAACAAGGACCCAAUAUGGGCUUCAACUGGAUAGGUAGUUACGGCUGUUGCCGCCUACACGAAGUUGUAGCUUGUGGACUUUGUUAGGGGCCAAGCAGGAAACAUGCUUGAUUGCAUGCCUAAACUUUCGACCUGAGCUCAGGCAAGGCUACCCGCUGAACUUAAGC
rnacentral:misc_RNA from 1 species